rnacentral:rRNA from 1 species
GACGUAGGGUGCGAGCGUUGUCCGGAAUUAUUGGGCGUAAAGAGCUCGUAGGCGGUGUGUCGCGUCGGCCGUGAAAACCUGCAGCUUAACUGUGGGCGUGCGGUCGAUACGGGCAUCACUGGAGUUCGGCAGGGGAGACUGGAAUUCCUGGUGUAGCGGUGAAAUGCGUAGAUAUCGAGAGGAACACCUGCGGCGAAGGCGGGUUGCUGGGCCGACACUGACGCUGAUGCGCGAAAGCCAGGGGAGCGAACGGG